UUCUGAAAAAAAUGUGCGUGAAGUGUGUUUUCUUAUGGGGACACGCACAGAGCGCAUUUCACACAUUAGUCGAAAAUAUGACAUUUUCUGAAAUGUGUUCAGUGGACAGAGGCUAUUGGCGAACUCUAGCUUAUUUCGACUCAGCACGUCGCCCUGAUAAAGAAUAUAUAUGUAUUUACAUUAUGAGAGCUAUGAAAAUUGGAAUCGUACCCGGUUUCAAUGUCUUGAUUGCCACGUCAAUGUCCUGGACGAAGUUUGGUGGAAUUUUGAGCCGACCGCGACACACAUCACCGAAUUCUCCGCCACCUUAAAAGUCAUAGUUUCAAAGAUUUGUAUUGAAGAAUGUAUCUAAAAAUAGUGCAAGGUAGUAUUUACCAAUUAUUGCUUCAAUUGUAAUAUAAUUUGCAUCAAUUUCACGAGCAAAUUCCCUUAUUGCCUGGUUGGGAUCCUCAUAGGUGUGAGGAUCCACGUAGCUCCGGCUGCUCCCAAAUAAGGGGGUCGUCACUGGAAAAGCAAGAACAGGAAAUUGAAAGAAUUAAGCGACAAUGAUUUGCAAAAAGUAUGCAUACGUAUGACAAGCAACUUAAAUUGGUUACUUUAGAAACCUUUAAGGUUAACCCACACCAUAAAAUCAAAAUGUGAACGAAAAUAAACAAAUUAUAUACCAUUUGAAUGUAGAGUCUUGACAAUUGGAGUUGUAUCCAUGGCAUUUACUAAAAGUAAAGAUAAAAACAUAUUGAUCACAGGUUGAACAAAAUUAUAUUUAAAUAACAAUAAGCAAAAACUGAUAUGUCCAGAAAUUUGAUAACCUCUGUCUGACCAGCGGAAACAAUAAUCUGUAUUCAAUUAAAGAGUUCUACUUUGUGGCAAAGAGUAAA